rnacentral:rRNA from 1 species
UACGGAGGGAGCUAGCGUUGUUCGGAAUUACUGGGCGUAAAGCGCACGUAGUCGGCUUUGCAAGUCGGGUGUGAAAUCCCCGGGCUCAACCUGGGAACUGCAUCCGAGACUGCAUUGCUAGAGUAUGGGAGAGGGAAGCGGAAUUUCUGGUGUAGCAGUGAAAUGCGUAGAUAUCAGAAGGAACAUCAGUGGCGAAGGCGGCUUCCUGGACCAAUACUGACGAUCAGGUGCGAAAGCGUGGGGAGCAAACAGG